rnacentral:rRNA from 1 species
AUGAACCUGGCUCUCCUCACUAGAUGGCUCUGGCGCAUUGCAACCGGCGAUGGUGGCUUGUGGUUGCAGAUCAUCUGUCGCAAAUACCUGUGCGGUCAGCCCCUCGCCUUUUGCGUUAGGACUGGCGGUUCCCAGUUUUGGCAGUCUGUCGUCCAGCUCCUCCCGGUCCUCCGCAUUGGGACCUCUAUCACGGUCGGUACUAGAACAUCCACAAUGUUUUGGUUCGACCGCUGGGCUGGGGAUCUCCCCUUCGCUGCCAGGUUCCUUGACCUCUUCUCCAUUGCGGUCGAACCUAGGAUCUCUGUCGAGUCGGCCCUUAUUGACUUAGGGCUCGCGUUCCGGAGGCCAUUUGGGCCACCGGAGGUUGCCGCUUGGCACGAGCUCCUUGAUGCCGUGGCUCUCCAUGAGCCGGACCUGGCGCAGCCCCACGCCGACCGUCUUUCCUGGCAUCUCGAGCCCUUUGGCCGCUUCUCCACGAAGUCCCUUUAUCGAGCCAUUGCUCCCUCUCCUGGCCCGGCUGUCCUCGAAUCUAUAUGGUCCAUCCCUUUGCCCCUCAAAAUUAGAAUCUUCAUGUGGCAAUGGAUUCGUGGCCGGCUCCCCUCUGGCGUGGAGGUGGUGAAGCGUCAGGGUCCGGGUGAUGGUAUCUACCCCCUAAGUGGGACUGAAGAAACCUCGAUUCACAUCUUCUUCUCGUGCGUGUCCGCCCAGUUUCUAUGGGGCUGCCUCCGAGAGACCAUCGGUGGCAACUGGUGUAACGCUAACUUCACCGAUCUCCUCUCCGAGGUUCAGACCUCCCCCUUGACAGGCCGCCACAUUAGGUGGCUAAUUGGGGUGCUCGCGUGGACGCUGUGGACUGUGCGAAAUAAGCUUUUCGUUGAACGGGUCCCUCUUUGA